rnacentral:rRNA from 1 species
GGGGCAGCAUGGUCUUAGCUUGCUAAGGCUGAUGGCGACCGGCGCACGGGUGAGUAACACGUAUCCAACCUGCCGUCUACUCUUGGCCAGCCUUCUGAAAGGAAGAUUAAUCCAGGAUGGGAUCAUGAGUUCACAUGUCCGCAUGAUUAAAGGUAUUUUCCGGUAGACGAUGGGGAUGCGUUCCAUUAGAUAGUAGGCGGGGUAACGGCCCACCUAGUCAACGAUGGAUAGGGGUUCUGAGAGGAAGGUCCCCCACAUUGGAACUGAGACACGGUCCAAACUCCUACGGGAGGCAGCAGUGAGGAAUAUUGGUCAAUGGGCGAUGGCCUGAACCAGCCAAGUAGCGUGAAGGAUGACUGCCCUAUGGGUUGUAAACUUCUUUUAUAAAGGAAUAAGGUCGGGUAUGCAUACCCGUUUGCAUGUACUUUAUGAAUAAGGAUCGGCUAACUCCGUGCCAGCAGCCGCGGUAAUACGGAGGAUCCGAGCGUUAUCCGGAUUUAUUGGGUUUAAAGGGAGCGUAGAUGGAUGUUUAAGUCAGUUGUGAAAGUUUGCGGCUCAACCGUAAAAUUGCAGUUGAUACUGGAUGUCUUGAGUGCAGUUGAGGCAGGCGGAAUUCGUGGUGUAGCGGUGAAAUGCUUAGAUAUCACGAAGAACCCCGAUUGCGAAGGCAGCCUGCUAAGCUG